GAUGAACGCUGGCGGCGUGCCUAAUACAUGCAAGUCGAGCGAACAGAUGAGGAGCUUGCUCCUCUGACGUUAGCGGCGGACGGGUGAGUAACACGUGGAUAACCUACCUAUAAGACUGGGAUAACUUCGGGAAACCGGAGCUAAUACCGGAUAAUAUAUUGAACCGCAUGGUUCAAUAGUGAAAGACGGUUUUGCUGUCACUUAUAGAUGGAUCCGCGCCGCAUUAGCUAGUUGGUAAGGUAACGGCUUACCAAGGCGACGAUGCGUAGCCGACCUGAGAGGGUGAUCGGCUACACUGGAACUGAGACACGGUCCAGACUCCUACGGGAGGCAGCAGUAGGGAAUCUUCCGCAAUGGGCGAAAGCCUGACGGAGCAACGCCGCGUGAGUGAUGAAGGUCUUCGGAUCGUAAAACUCUGUUAUUAGGGAAGAACAAAUGUGUAAGUAACUAUGCACGUCUUGACGGUACCUAAGCAGAAAGCCACGGCUAACUACGU
rnacentral:rRNA from 1 species